AAGGGGAGAUCGAGCGGCAGCGGUUCAAGGCCGAGCAAAGGGCUUGUCUUGAUCCGUUAAGAUUGAGGAGAGCUUAGUGACAUCCGGCGUGGGACUUUCCAGUGAAAAUUGUUCUCUGACCUGAAUCAGGAAUUUGCCUUGAUGGUCCAAAGAUUAAGGUUGACCUCCAACUCCUGGCUCAAGUGAUCCUCCAACCUCACCUCCAGAGUAAUUGGGGUACAGGUGUGAGGCAAUGUGCCUGGCUUGGAAUUGUUUUCUUAACUUCAUUUUCACAUUG